rnacentral:rRNA from 1 species
AACUACCGACGGGGGGCAGCAGUGGGGAAUAUUGCACAAUGGGGGAAACCCCGAUGCAGCAACGCCGCGUGAGUGAAGAAGUAUUUCGAUAUGUAAAGCUCUAUCAGCAGGGAAGAAGAUGACGGUACCUGAUUAAGAAGCCCCGGCUAACUACGUGCCAGCAGCCGCGGUAAUACGUAGGGGGCAAGCGUUAUCCGGAUUUACUGGGUGUAAAGGGAGCGUAGGUGGCAUGGUAAGCCAGAAG